AUUACAGAAGGGAGCUGUGAGAACUGAUUCGGGAUAAGCAGAACCAAGGACAGAAAUACUUCGCUAUGGCUGUGCUUCCUCCAGGCGCUCUCCAGAGCCUCUCAGACCCAGCUCUGAAAUGGUCUGCACAGGCAGGAGCCCGGGCAAUGACAGAUGGGGCAGAGACGGCAUCUCUGUGCAGGCACGGCACCGUCACACGCCGCACCCGGCGGCGUUAAUAUUGGGAAAACCACCAGCUGAACCCACCGCAGAGGCAGGCUGUGUUUGCAGGAAUCCCACCGGAGGGGCAGGCAGCAACCUCUAAAUUUUUGGGGGGCAGGCUGUCAGGAGUGGGUAUUUUGUCACUUGCAGCAUGCUGCGUACACUGGAGGAAUCAGAGGAGGAUUGUCCCAAACCGUGUUUUUAAUCUCAAGAGAGUUUGGGGGAUCAUCUGAAGAAACAAUACGUGUCUUGAGGGCAGAGAUCAUGGGAUGACAAGAGAUACAACUCCAUAAAGAAUUUUUUCACUUUUUUUUUUUUCUUUCUGUUCAGUUCCUCAUCUGGCUGGCAUCUCUUCCACAGCAGAAGCACAUAAUUUAUGGAGGUGUACCUGCCCUUAAGUUUCCUCCCACAAGCCCUGUGGUGGGCAGACAUGUUUUGCAUCACAACACUACUGCAAGCACAGAGCACUGUCCUCGAUAUGAUGUGCCAAGCCACCUUUCUGGUCAACGGCAAACAUGGUGCCAACAGGGCAGUAACCGUUCAUGUAGGCCAGGAGCUCUGGUCCAGUGAACCCCAUCAUCGCUUCUCUUGUGGCUUGUGCGUGGUGAAAACAAACCUUUAGGUUAGUCUGAAGAGGGAAAAAGCCCUCACUGUCACUGCAAAGUGCACAGCUGAGCAAUUUAGCAUCAGCUACAAGAGGAUGAAGCAGCAAGUAGGUCUCAGCAAUGUCCUUUUGACAUCAGGAGGGUAAAGAGCAUCAUCAGAGGAUCCAGAGUGUAUUCAAACUCUUGAAGGCAAUUGGACCUACAACUUCUGGUCUUAGUUUCUAGUCUUAAGCACAAGGUCAUCCUUACAGAAGAAAUUAAAUGAUCAUUACAAAAUAUUUAUUUGAAUGAUCACCACCUCCCAACUCAUGAGGCUCGCUCAAAAAAAAAAAAAAAAGCCAACAAUCAAUCUGUUGGGCACAUUUUCAUCUUUUCAUUUAUUCUUUCUGUAAGUUUUAAAGUCAAGUUUUAUCAGGUUCUGAUUUUGGAGUUCAUGAAGCCCAAGUACCCCAAGUACCCCCUAUCUCCCUGUCUUGUCACUUUUUUGUACACCCACAUUUAACUCAUAAAAUCAGGACAUAGCAGUAUCAAAUAAAAUGGAGCUUGAAAUAAAAUCCUCAUUUCCCCAGUGAAACUCGGAAAGCCAAAACUUGUUCCUCCCAGCGAGGAUGGGAAAAAAAUCACUGCUGAAAUAGAAGACAAAGAAGGUAUAGCAAAUAAUCUCUCUGGCUGGGUAAAGCGCUCUUUGUAUGCACACUCUUCUCUCUUCUGCUAAUGAAGAAAGCCAGUGCUGCUGCUUUGCAAGAGCAGCAGCAAGGAGCCCUGCCUGACCACAUAUUUAUUUUUUAUGUCCUGUUAUUUCACAUAUGAUUCAUUGAUGUCUUUCCCCUCCCCCCCAAGUGAUGAUCUAUAAGGUGAAUACUUCUUUGCCUCACUGUUUUCAGAGGAGCUUUAGUGUGAGGCUGAAGUAUGGGAUUAUGUCUCCAAGAUAAUAAAGGAAAUUAUUUAAUGGUUUCUCUUACUGUAACAACUUCCAAGUAGAAACUUUGAUCUUCUCCUGCAAUACAAACUGCACCUGGCACACUGCUAGCCCUUAAAUCAGACAAGAAACCUGGCCUUGCAGAAGAAAAACCCUUCCAAGGAAAGAGUGUUUCUUCUGCAUCCUCCAUGGAGAUCCAGCAAGUGAGCAGAAACCUCCUGCUGAAACUAGCAAAGUUUGCAGAGCAACACUGCAUCAGCUGCUGGGUUGCAAGGCUGCAAGGCUGCAACUUGGCUCCUGCUCCCCCUCUGAGGUGAUGUAUUCAGUCGGGGGACCUCAUCCCUGCGGUACCUGCGAUGCAAAGGCUCUUUUAAAAGCUUCUCCCCUUUGCCACGGGACAGCAGACCCAGCAAGCUCACUCUGUGGGACUCCUCCUUUCCCAGAUCCGUCACCUUUUAGCCUGGGGCCUCUGCCUGUCAGUAAAGGAAGGCUCGGCUUCAACUCAUUUAGCAAAGAUUUCAGACAACCGUGAGUUUCAGCCGUGAGAGAAAACAGUGCCUGCAAAGCAUGAGGAGCUGUCAGACCCACGGAGGAGCACGGCCAGGGGAGCCGCACAGCAGACAUUUCAUCAGACGAGACAGAAGCUAAAGGGAGAAUAAAUCAUCUUUCUGUCUGUUUCUCAGUGUUUGCUGUCCAAAGGAGACGAGACAGUGACAAACUCUGAGUAAUGUUAAGGUUAAUCUGUAUCCUC